ACACUCACACUCACUCACACACACACACACACACACAGAGUGCGGCCUCCGCACGCACCUGUUAUUUGCACACGCACUCCUGGCAUUUGCCUGCACACACGCACGGGUAGUGCUUGCCCACCGUGCACACGCAGCACUUCUCACUCCUGCUCUCGCGUGUGGGCUCCACACGCGGCUCUGGCCCGCACACCCUCGCUGGCGGCUGUGGGCGCACAUGGGGCCGAUCGUGGUGCCCGGCUUACACGAGCCUGUUCGCCCACACGGACACACGCGUGGCACUUACACGCCUGCGCUCAGCGCUCCCACACAACUGCACAGCUCGCCCACACGCGGCUCUCCACUCGCACGGUCAACACGCGCGGCUCUCGCACAGCGCUGCACACAGCUUUCGAGGCCUCCUUCCUGGGAGAGAGCCCUUGCCAGGGCCGGGCCGUUUGCCCUUCCACAUAUUUCCCUCUCCCGGGCAGGAAUGAGACCUCCUCAUUCCUCCCCUGGCCUGUGCUGGCCCUGCCUGCAGGAGCACAGAGCUCUCCCACCUUCCUGGCUGUGCCGGCAGAAAUUGGAUUGUUUCUAGAAAAUGGCCUGCCUGGAAGUUGCUAUACAAAGUGAUGAUUUUCUGCUUUCUUCUGAAUUACACAGCAUCAGCACACAAAUCUCCAACAACCUUUGCAAAUAUGGGGAACUUAAGCCACGUACCAUAUUGCUGAGGUACACUGAGAUAAUAUUUAUCCGAAAGGCAGAAAAAUGGAGAUCCAGAUAGCUCAGUAUGAAAUCACUGAGGGAAUCUGAUACAAGCAGAGCAAAGGCUACAUUUCCUUGGGCUUCUCAGCUCAUUAUUCUCUAAUUUAAUGCCAUAGGCCAGAUGCUUUGUUCCACCUUUUGCCUCGAUGUAUUAUGGAAUGGGCAAGAUAAAUAAAGAAAAAGCUCCUGCAGGUGAA